rnacentral:lncRNA from 1 species
CCCGACAAUAGUAUACGCGCCCAUAAUGAACAGUCGUGUAAUCUGUUAUCUCCCCUUAUUUCGUUUACUUUUAAUAUUCAAUCAAAUAUCAAAUGAAGAAUUGUAUUUUCAAAGUUAUCUAUACGAAUAAGUUAAUUUCUUUUUUAUAUGUUAAGAAUAUUUUAUACAAAUCAUUUACCUAAAUUUUAUCUCAAACUUUGCCUCUUAUUUAUUUAAACUGUACCACGAUUUUACUUGUGAAUGUGAUUAAAAUUACUUUACUGGAAAACAUCUUUUAAUUCUUUAAACUCGUUUCUGCUAAUAUUUAUAAGAUAAACUAUUAAACAAAUUCAACAUUUUUACUAACCUUUAAAAGACAAUCCAGUCUGCUAACUACAUUUUAUUCUGGUUCACAGUCUAGUGAACCAAAUAGUUUUGCACGACUUUAUAUAGCAGACUGGACUUAAUUUGACACGUAAUAUUUGUUACUCAUUACAAUAGCUUUCUCUGAUCUCUUUUAAUAAACAAUGGAUUUUGUCGGUUAAAGGCAGAAUUACUUAAUCUUAAUUGUUCAAGUCUAUUAAUUUUAGAAGUAUAUACAAUUAUCUUUAUGC